rnacentral:misc_RNA from 1 species
CGCUUGUUAAAGAAGAUUGGGAAUAAGCUGUGCUACAUGAACACAGAAUCUUCUCUACCAACAAAUAUUGAGGCUGCUCUAUUCUACGAUGACUUCUCUUGGAGGCAGAUCCCAGGAGGAGACCUUCACUGUUAGAAGAAAACCAACCCGUUUUUUCAAGAUAAUUCUUGAAUAUACUAUCCACCAGGGAAAACUUGGGAUUCCCAUAAAAUUUGUGGAAGAUUACGGAUAUUGUUUAACUAGUCCAGUAACCCUUCAAGAUCCCACAGGCACCUCAUGGAAAGUAGAGUUACUGAAAAAUGGGAAUGAGGUUUGGCUAGAAAAGGGUUGGCCAGAAUUUUCUGAGAAUCACACUCUGAAAUAUGGGCACUUGUUAGUUUUUGAAUAUAAGGGAGAUAGCCUUUUCCAUGUGUUCAUAUUUGAUAAGACCGCUGUAGAGAUUGAGUAUUCAGUUAAGCUAAAUUUUGAUGGAGAAUCACCACAGCCCAAGAAGCAAGAAAUUGAUGAUCACGAUAGCAUUUCAUGUCACAAUUUGGAUGAUCCAAUCAGGAAUGGCAACCAAUCCAGAGGAAAGCGGAAACAAUUCAUGGAUGAGACGGGUAGGAGUAGGCAGGCUGGAAGGCCUAAACGUUCAAAAAUUUGUGGAGCUCUUGAAGCUGUCAACAACUUCAUCUCUAGCUAUCCAUUCUUCAAGGUUUUAUUAAGGCGAAGUCUCAAUGUGGCCAUUCCCUUUCAUUUAAUCAGGAGGUAUAUGGCUUGUGAAUCACGGACUGUGAUGCUUAAGGUUGCUGACAAAUCAUGGCCUGUAAAGUUGAAUGUGUAUUCACAUAGGCGUACAGCUAAGUUAUGUGCUGGUUGGCUUGCAUUUGCAAGGGAAAAUUCUCUGGAAGUUGGAGAUGUUUGCAUCUUUGAAUUGAUUGAGAGGAAUAUGCUGAAUGCAUACAUAUUCAGAUGUGCUAGUUAAAUGGCUGAUUUUGAGUCUAAUUUUCUGCAACACUCUCCCCU